rnacentral:SRP_RNA from 1 species
AGUCGGGAACUUCACAAAACAUCCUUCAAAACCCUGCGAGAGCCGGAAGGCAGCAACAGUAUGAAGACCUUGUUUGUGCUGGAGUAUUCCCGGCUCUU